UCUUCACAUGCAUUCUAACAAAAAGACUAGGGCAAGGAUUUGGGUUUAAGAGAGGGCUUGGGAUGAGGAAUUUCCAGAUCUUCAACUCUUUGACCAGACAAAUGGAGCUUUUCAAGCCUAAAAUCCCUGGAAAAGUAGGGUACUAUGGCCAAUUGUGAAAUCAGGGAUAUUUCUCAGCCUUUGCAAGUGGGUUCUGUCGGGCAGACUUACACAGAGUAUUGGAAUGCUAUCCAGCACAUUUUUUAGGAGUACUCAGAAGGAAGAUAUUGUAGUUCCUAUGGUAAGAAUAGUUUUAGGUAUUGUUGUUGCAUACUUCUUAAAUGCUUUUGAAUUGUGUUCAAAAUUCUUUUCCAGCAGGAUUAUUGCUAUAUUUAUGUUGAAUGAAAGUAAAUUGACUGGAUAAUCAUUUAGGGGUGGUUAUGGGCCAGGUUUGGGCCAUGUCAAGGUCAGCCAGAAUCUAACCUAUUUACUAAUUGAGCCAAAAUCAGACUUCACAUACAUUAUUUUAAUGCAAGCCGAGGAUAAACAUCUUAUGCUAGAAGUAAGAUUCAUUUUUCUCUACUUGUUACUUUAUUAAAAGCAUGCCACUAUUUUUCUCUACAGUCCAAUCUGUUGAUAUGAUGGACUCCCUGUAGAUGGGAGAUGCACCAAAAAUUUGCCAAAUUGGAGGAUCCUAACAAUUAUUCUUAAGAGCAGUAACAAUCCAUCUUCCGAGAUUUGUUUUGGGAGAUGAGUGUUUGAUGAUGCAGGCUGAGGUGUAUCAUUCGUACAUGGAAGUGUUACGUGCAUAUGAGAUUUUUAAUGCAGAUGGAGAUAUGUGGAGGAAGCAAAGAAAGACUGCAAGCUUGGAGUUCGCAUCAAAGAACUUGAGAGAUUCCAGUACUCUUGUAUUCAGAGACUAUGCCCUCAAGCUAUCAACUAUCUUAUGCCAAGCUUUUAUACAAAACCAACAAGUAGGCGUGCAGGUCUUUCUCAUCUACCCAAGAAACACUCUCUUCUAAUGCAUGCAUAUCUGUAUUGAUGCAUGUGGAUGUGCGUGUCUUUCUAAAGAGUAAUGAUCACAUGAAUCUCAUCACAUUCAACUCA